UGGCUCAGUUGGUGAAGAACCUGCCUGCAAUGCAGGAGACCCAGGUUCAAUCCCUGG
rnacentral:tRNA from 1 species